UGGGGAAUUUUGGACAAUGGGGGCAACCCUGAUCCAGCAAUGCCGCGUGAGUGAAGAAGGCCUUCGGGUUGUAAAGCUCUUUUGUCAGGGAAGAAAAGGACUGGGUUAAUACCCUGGUUUCAUGACGGUACCUGAAGAAUAAGCACCGGCUAACUACGUGCCAGCAGCCGCGGUAAUACGUAGGGUGCGAGCGUUAAUCGGAAUUACUGGGCGUAAAGCGUGCGCAGGCGGUUGUGUAAGACAGAUGUGAAAUGCCCGGGCUUAACCUGGGAAUUGCAUUUGUGACUGCACGGCUAGAGUGUGUCAGAGGGGGGUAGAAUUCCACGUGUAGCAGUGAAAUGCGUAGAUAUGUGGAGGAAUACCGAUGGCGAAGGCAGCCCCCUGGGAUAACACUGACGCUCAUGCACGAAAGCGUGGGGAGCAAACAGGAUUAGAUACCCUGGUAGUCCACGCCCUAAACGAUGUCGACUAGUUGUUGGGUCUUAAUUGACUUAGUAACGCAGCUAACGCGUGAAGUCGACCGCCUGGGGAGUACGGUCGCAAGAUUAAAACUCAAAGGAAUUGACGGGGACCCGCACAAGCGGUGGAUGAUGUGGAUUAAUUCGAUGCAACGCGAAAAACCUUACCUACCCUUGACAUGUCAGGAACCCUGAAGAGAUUUGGGGGUGCUCGAAAGAGAACCUGAACACAGGUGCUGCAUGGCUGUCGUCAGCUCGUGUCGUGAGAUGUUGGGUUAAGUCCCGCAACGAGCGCAACCCUUGUCAUUAGUUGCUACGAAAGGGCACUCUAAUGAAACUGCCGGUGACAAACCGGAGGAAGGUGGGGAUGACGUCAAGUCCUCAUGGCCCUUAUGGGUAGGGCUUCACACGUCAUACAAUGGUGCAUACAGAGGGUUGCCAACCCGCGAGGGGGAGCUAAUCCCAGAAAGUGCAUCGUAGUCCGGAUUGGAGUCUGCAACUCGACUCCAUGAAGUUGGAAUCGCUAGUAAUCGCGGAUCAGCAUGUCGCGGUGAAUACGUUCCC
rnacentral:rRNA from 1 species